AUCCGAUGGAUCCAAAGGAUGCGAUGGAUAAAUAGAUAUCUAUUUAUCCAUCGCAUCCUUUGGAUCCAUCGGA